UACGUAGGUGGCAAGCGUUAUCCGGAUUCAUUGGGCGUAAAGAGCGCGUAGGUGGUCCUUCAAGUCAGAUGUUAAAUCUCCCGGCUUAACUGGGAGUGGUCAUCUGAUACUGCUGGACUUGAGGGCGGUAGAGGGAGGUGGAAUUCCCGGUGUAGUGGUGAAAUGCGUAGAUAUCGGGAGGAACACCAGUGGCGAAAGCGGCCUCCUAGGCCGUUCCUGACACUGAGGCGCGAAAGCGUGGGGAGCGAACAGGAUCAGAUACCCUGGUAGUCCACGCCCUAAACUGUGGAAACUAGGUACAGGGAGUAUCGACCCUUCCUGCGCCGUAGCUAACGCGUUAAGUUUCCCGCCUGGGGACUACGGUCGCAAGACUAAAACUCAAAG
rnacentral:rRNA from 1 species